rnacentral:rRNA from 1 species
GAUGAACGCUGGCGGCGUGCCUAAUACAUGCAAGUCGAGCGAACAGACGAGGAGCUUGCUCCUCUGACGUUAGCGGCGGACGGGUGAGUAACACGUGGAUAACCUACCUAUAAGACUGGGAUAACUUCGGGAAACCGGAGCUAAUACCGGAUAAUAUAUUGAACCGCAUGGUUCAAUAGUCAAAGACGGUUUUGCUGUCACUUAUAGAUGGAUCCGCGCCGCAUUAGCUAGUUGGUAAGGUAACGGCUUACCAAGGCAACGAUGCGUAGCCGACCUGAGAGGGUGAUCGGCCACACUGGAACUGAGACACGGUCCAGACUCCUACGGGAGGCAGCAGUAGGGAAUAUUCCGCAAUGGGCGAAAGCCUGACGGAGCAACGCCGCGUGAGUGAUGAAGGUCUUCGGAUCGUAAAACUCUGUUAUUAGGGAAGAACAAAUGUGUAAGUAACUAUGCACGUCUUGACGGUACCUAAUCAGAAAGCCACGGCUAACUACGUG